GGCUUGAGCCUGAUUCACUUAAGCUAACUUAUUUAGACUAAUUAAUCCAUUGGUAUCUAAAGCAAGUAAUUGAGAUGUGAUUAUUUAGCUGGUUUUCUUUACUAACCUGACCAAUUUGUUGGUAUCUAAGAAAAGCAAUGAGGGACCUCCAUCAAUCUCUAUUUACCUAGUCAAUUUGGAAGAUUGAGUCUUCAAUAAGGUUGCUUAGCACUUUGGUUUAACCCAUGCCAAUU
rnacentral:lncRNA from 1 species